rnacentral:rRNA from 1 species
CAGCCGCCGCGGGAAUACGUAGGUGGCAAGCGUUGUCCGGAAUUAUUGGGCGUAAAGCGCGCGCAGGUGGUUUAAUAAGUCUGAUGUGAAAGCCCACGGCUCAACCGUGGAGGGUCAUUGAAAACUGUUAAACUUGAGUGCAGGAGAGAAAAGUGGAAUUCCUAGUGUAGCGGUGAAAUGCGUAGAGAUUAGGAGGAACACCAGUGGCGAAGGCGGCUUUUUGGCCUGUAACUGACACUGAGGCGCGAAAGCGUGGGGAGCAAACAGGAUUAGAGACCCCUGUAGUCCCUGUCUCUUAUAC